AACGAACGCUGGCGGCAGGCUUAACACAUGCAAGUCGAACGCAUCCUUCGGGGUGAGUGGCAGACGGGUGAGUAACGCGUGGGAACGUGCCCUUCAGUUCGGGAUAACCCAGGGAAACUUGGGCUAAUACCGGAUACGUGCGAGAGCAGAAAGAUUUAUCGCUGAAGGAUCGGCCCGCGUCUGAUUGGCUAGUUGGUGGGGUAAUGGCCCACCAAGGCGACGAUCAGUAGCUGGUUUGAGAGGAUGAUCAGCCACAUUGGGACUGAGACACGGCCCAAACUCCUACGGGCGGCAGCAGUGGGGAAUAUUGGACAAUGGGCGCAAGCCUAAUCCAGCCAUGCCGCGUGAGUGAUGAAGGCCUUAGGGUUGUAAAGCUCUUUCGUCCGGGACGAUAAUGACGGUACCGGGAGAAGAAGCCCCGGCUAACUUCGUGCCAGCCGCCGCCGUAA
rnacentral:rRNA from 1 species